rnacentral:rRNA from 1 species
UUUUUAAAUUGAGAGUUUGAUCCUGGCUCAGGAUGAACGCUGGUGGCGUGCCUAAUACAUG